AGUGAACGCUGGCGGUAGGCCUAACACAUGCAAGUCGAACGGCAGCACAGUAAGAGCUUGCUCUUACGGGUGGCGAGUGGCGGACGGGUGAGGAAUACAUCGGAAUCUACUUUUUCGUGGGGGAUAACGUAGGGAAACUUACGCUAAUACCGCAUACGACCUACGGGUGAAAGCAGGGGAUCUUCGGACCUUGCGCGAUUGAAUGAGCCGAUGUCGGAUUAGCUAGUUGGCGGGGUAAAGGCCCACCAAGGCGACGAUCCGUAGCUGGUCUGAGAGGAUGGUCCGCCACACAGGAACUGAGACACGGUCCAGACUCCGACGGGAGGCAGCAGUGGGGAAUAUUGGACAAUGGGCGCAAGCCUGAUCCAGCCAUACCGCGUGGGUGAAGAAGGCCUUCGGGUUGUAAAGCCCUUUUGUUGGGAAAGAAAAGCAGCAGGUUAAUACCCCGCUGUUCUGACGGUACCCAAAGAAUAAGCACCGGCUAACUUCGU
rnacentral:rRNA from 1 species